rnacentral:rRNA from 1 species
AGGGUUUGAUCCUGGCUCAGAGUGAACGCUGGCGGCGUGGAUUAGGCAUGCAAGUCGAGCGAUCCUUGUUACCAGUAGAGAUUGAAGCUUCGGCUGAUUUUUCUUGCGGUGACGCUGGAUAGCGGCAAACGGGUGAGUAACGCGUGGAUAACGUACCUUGAGGAGGGACAUAGUUCGUCGAAAGGCGGAGUAAUUUCCCAUAAUCCCUUUAGUCUGCAAUGACUUAAGGGCAAAGAUGGCCUCUACUUGUAAGCUAUCACCUUAAGAGCGGUCCGUGUUCUAUCAGGUUGUUGGUAGGGUAAUGGCCUACCAAGCCUUAGACGGAUAGCUGGUCUGAGGGGAUGGUCAGCCACAUCGGGACUGAGACACUGCCCGGACUCCUACGGGAGGCUGCAGUCGAGAAUAUUUCUCUAUGGGCGAAAGCCUGAAGAUGCGACGCCGCGUGAAGGAUGAAGGUCUUCGGAUUGUAAACUUCUUUUAUUGAGGAGGAAAGCUGUAAAAUUAAUAAUUUUGUAGUUUGACUGUACUUGAUGAAUAAGCCACGGCUACUCCGUGCCAGCAGCCGCGGUAAUACGGAGGUGGCGAGCGUUACUCGGUUUGAUUGGGUGUAAAGGGUCCGUAGGCGGCCAAAUAAGUGAACGGUGAAAUCCUUCGGCUCAACCGAAGAACUGCCUUUCAAACUGUUUGGCUCGAGGGUGAAAGAAGAGAGUAGAACUGUCAGUGUAAGGGUGAAAUCUGUGGAUAUUGACAGGAAUGCCUGUGGGGUAGCCGGCUCUCUAGUUCAUUCCUGACGCUCAGGGACGAAAGCUAGGGGAGCGAACAGGAUUAGAUACCCUGGUAGUCCUAGCUGUAAACGAUGGGCACUAGAUGUUUGUCCGUAAGGAUGGGUGUCGUAGCUAACGCGUUAAGUGCCCCACCUGGGGACUACGGCCGCAAGGCUAAAACUCAAAGGAAUUGACGGGGGCCCGCACAAGCGGUGGAACACGUGGUUUAAUUCGAUGCUACGCGAGGAACCUUACCAGGGCUUGACAUGCAGGAAGUAGUAUCCCGAAAGGGAGUCCGACUGGUAACCAUCCAGAACCUGUGCAGGUGCUGCAUGGUUGUCGUCAGCUCGUGCCGUGAGGUGUUCCCUUAAGUGGGAAAACGAGCGCAACCCUCGCCCUUUGUUGCUAUCUUUAACUUUUAGUUAAAGAGCACUCUAAGGGGACUGCCCGUGUUAAAUGGGAGGAAGGUGGGGACGACGCCAAAUCAGCAUGGCCCUUAUGCCCUGGGCUACACACGUGUUACAAUGCCUGGUACAACGGGAAGCUAAGCCGUGAGGUGGAGCAAAUCCUAUAAAACCAGGCUCAGUUCGGAUCGAAGGCUGCAACUCGCCUUCGUGAAGUUGGAAUCGCUAGUAAUGGUGUAUCAGCAACGACGCCGUGAAUACGUUCCCGGGCCUUGUACACACCGCCCGUCAAGCGCUGAAAGUGGGGGGCGCCUGAAGUCUGCUUCUGGCGGAUCACGGUGAAUUUCAUGAUUGGCGCUAAGUCGGAACAAGGUA